rfam:Ophiostoma piceae TAMH 11346 chromosome Tnknown scf02, whole genome shotgun sequence.
GGGGCAAUGGCUCAGUUGGGAGAGCGUCAGACUGAAGAUCUGAAGGUCCUCGGUUCGAUCCCGAGUUGCCCCA